rnacentral:rRNA from 1 species
GACGAACGCUGGCGGCGUGCUUAACACAUGCAAGUCGAACGGAAAGGCCCUGCUUUUGUGGGGUGCUCGAGUGGCGAACGGGUGAGUAACACGUGAGUAACCUGCCCCUGACUUUGGGAUAACUUCAGGAAACUGGGGCUAAUACCGGAUAGGAGCUCCUGCUGCAUGGUGGGGGUUGGAAAGUUUCGGCGGUUGGGGAUGGACUCGCGGCUUAUCAGCUUGUUGGUGGGGUAGUGGCUUACCAAGGUUUUGACGGGUAGCCGGCCUGAGAGGGUGACCGGCCACAUUGGGACUAAGAUACGGCCCAGACUGCUACGGGAGGCAGCAGUGGGGAGUAUUGCGCAGUGGGCGGGAGCCUGAUGCAGCAACGCCGCGUGCGGGAUGACGGCCUUCGGGUUGUAAACCGCUUUCUCCUGUGAUGAAGCGUGAGUGACGGUAAUGGGUAAAAAAGCACCGGCUAACUACGUG